rnacentral:rRNA from 1 species
CAUGCAGUCGAGGGGUAUAGUUCUUCGGAAUUAGAGACCGGCGCACGGGUGCGUAACGCGUAUGCAAUCUACCUUUUACAGAGGGAUAGCCCAGAGAAAUUUGGAUUAAUACCUCAUAGUAUUAUGAAAUGGCAUCAUUUUAUAAUUAAAGUCACAACGGUAAAAGAUGAGCAUGCGUCCCAUUAGCUAGUUGGUAAGGUAACGGCUUACCAAGGCUACGAUGGGUAGGGGUCCUGAGAGGGAGAUCCCCCACACUGGUACUGAGACACGGACCAGACUCCUACGGGAGGCAGCAGUGAGGAAUAUUGGACAAUGGGCGCAAGCCUGAUCCAGCCAUGCCGCGUGCAGGAUGACGGUCCUAUGGAUUGUAAACUGCUUUUAUACGAGAAGAAACACUACUUCGUGAAGUAGCUUGACGGUAUCGUAAGAAUAAGGAUCGGCUAACUCCGUGCCAGCAGCCGCGGUAAUACGGAGGAUCCAAGCGUUAUCCGGAAUCAUUGGGUUUAAAGGGUCCGUAGGCGGUUUAAUAAGUCAGUGGUGAAAGCCCAUCGCUCAACGGUGGAACGGCCAUUGAUACUGUUAAACUUGAAUUAUUAGGAAGUAACUAGAAUAUGUAGUGUAGCGGUGAAAUGCUUAGAGAUUACAUGGAAUACCAAUUGCGAAGGCAGGUUACUACUAAUGGAUUGACGCUGAUGGACGAAAGCGUGGGUAGCGAACAGGAUUAGAUACCCUGGUAGUCCACGCCGUANACGAUGGAUACUAGCUGUUGGGAGCAAUCUCAGUGGCUAAGCGAAAGUGAUAAGUAUCCCACCUGGGGAGUACGUUCGCAAGAAUGAACU